CGAGACAGCGAUGUUAAGCGAAGCCCCAAAAAGACCGUCCCAGUUCGGAUUGCAGCCUGCAACUCGGCUGCAUGAAGCCGGAAUCGCUAGUAAUCGCGGAUCAGAACGCCGCGGUGAAUACGUUCCCGGGUCUUGUACACACCGCCCGUCACACCAUGGGAGUCGGGAAUGCCCGAAGUCGGUGAGCCAACGAAAGGGGCAGCCGCCGAAGGCAGGCCCGGUAACUGGGGUGAAGUCGUAACAAGGUACC
rnacentral:rRNA from 1 species